rnacentral:rRNA from 1 species
UACGUAGGGUGCGAGCGUUGUCCGGAAUUAUUGGGCGUAAAGGAGCUCGUAGGCGGUCUGUCGCGGUCGGUACGUGAAAACUUGGGGCUUAAACCCUGAGCUUGCGGUCGAUACGGGCAUGACUGGAGUUCGGUAGGGGAGACUGGAAUUCCUGGUGUAGCGGUGAAAUGCGCAGAUAUCAGGAGGAACACCGUGGCGAAGGCGGGUCUCUGGCGGAUGCUGACGCUGAGGACGAAAGCCGGGAGGGAGAACGGG